rnacentral:rRNA from 1 species
UACCAGCACCCCGAGUGGUCGGGACGAUUAUUGGGCCUAAAGCAUCCGUAGCCGGCCUUACAAGUCUUCCGUUAAAUCCACCUGCUUAACAGAUGGGCUGCGGAGGAUACUAUAGAGCUAGGAGGCGGGAGAGGCAAGCGGUACUUAGUGGGUAGGGGUAAAAUCCGUUGAUCCAUUGAAGACCACCAGUGGCGAAGGCGGCUUGCCGGAACGCACUCGACGGUGAGGGAUGAAAGCUGGGGGAGCAAACCGG